rnacentral:other from 1 species
GUCACCCUGCCCUGUGCGACAGCGGCCUUUUUUUAACCCACAUUUUUAGUACGGGAUUUCGGAAAGUUUUGGCAUCGAGCAGCAGGCCUCCCGGGUAUACACGGAUGUUGGAAGCGCAGACAUGCCAAACAGAAAACCCACCUGCCAAGUCGUGCAGGUUACUAAUUGGGCCGCAUCGGCAGGGCGGGGCUUAU